CCUUGUACACACCGCCCGUCACACCACGAAAGUCGGCAACACCCGAAGUCAGUGGCCCAACCCGCAAGGGAGGGAGCUGCCGAAGGUGGGGUCAGGCGAGUUGGGGUG
rnacentral:rRNA from 1 species